CACCUACGGGAGGCAGCAGUCGAGAAUUUUUCACAAUGGGCGCAAGCCUGAUGGAGCGACGCCGCGUGGGGGAUGAAUGGCUUCGGCCCGUAAACCCCUGUCAUUUGCGAACAAAUUGGUUAAUUAACACCUGAACCUUGAUAGUAGCGAAAGAGGAAGGGACGGCUAACUCUGUGCCAGCAGCCGCGGUAAUACAGAGGUCCCAAGCGUUGUUCGGAUUCACUGGGCGUAAAGGGGGCGUAGGUGGUGAGGUAAGUCGGAUGUGAAAGCUCGGAGCUCAACUCCGAAAUGGCAUUGGAAACUACCUUGCUCGAGGGUUGGAGGGGGGACUGGAAUGCUUGGUGUAGCAGUGAAAUGCGUAGAUAUCAAGCGGAACACCAGUGGCGAAGGCGAGUCCCUGGACAACUCCUGACACUGAGGCACGAAAGCUAGGGGAGCAAACAGGAUUAGAUACCCUAGUAGUCC
rnacentral:rRNA from 1 species